rnacentral:rRNA from 1 species
AUGGACACCAACAGAGCGCCUGGCCCCGAUAAUAUCCCUGCGGAGUUUUACCAGCACUGCUGGAGUAUUGUCAAAAAAGACAUCAUGCAGAUAUUCAAUCACUUCCAUUCUGCGACGCUUGAUGUGCAGCGUCUUAAUUAUGGCGUGAUUACUCUUCUCCCUAAAGUGUCGGGCGCUGAGCGUAUUCAGCAGUUCCGUCCUAUCUGUCUUCUU